UCCCAUAGGAAGCUACUACGGCUUGCCCCGCCUGACAAGUUCUUUAUGCUUUAAACAAAAGAGAUUAUUGGAAGGAAAGACAUGAGUGUCUCAAAGUGGUAUUUUGGUACAAAAGGAUGUCUUAAAAUAGCAUCCUUACGCUUCCCAUUGGGGCAGGAAGGACCUGAGGAGAGAGAACAUUAAGUCUGGAAAAGCCAAAAUGAUUGCUGGGCAUUAUCGUCCCCUGAUGGUAACAGGGAGGCCCUAAGUGACCGGUCGAUGACUUCUCUCUGGGACCCCAGCCUCUGCUUCUGCGUGCCCUCUCCCUGUUGUCAGAUGCAUACAUUGAGUCCCCUCUGUGUUUCCUGCCCACCAAAGGACAGGUGACUGAACCCUUCCAAGACAAAUCACCCAGCUACCAAACUACAGAGAAGUCUGGACGUCUGCAGGUGUAGCAGUCAGCAACAACUCAAUCAUGUAUUCAUUCAUUUGUUCAACAAACAUUUAUUAGACACCUGCUGUCUUCAGAGAUUAAAAAAUAAGCAAAUGCAACCAGU